ACCAUAUCACAUUGAAACACUCUGUUCUCAUCUGAUCACCAAAGUUAAGCAACAUCGAGCUUGGUCAGUAUUUAGAUGGGUGACCACUUAGGAAUGCCGGGUGCUGUAA